rnacentral:rRNA from 1 species
GAUGAACGCUAGCGGGAGGCCUAACACAUGCAAGCCGAGCGGUAGAGUCUCUUCGGAGACUUGAGAGCGGCGCACGGGUGCGGAACACGUGUGCAACCUGCCUUUAUCUGGGGGAUAGCCUUUCGAAAGGAAGAUUAAUACCCCAUAAUAUACUGGAUGGCAUCAUCUGGUAUUGAAAACUCCGGUGGAUAGAGAUGGGCACGCGCAAGAUUAGAUAGUUGGUGAGGUAACGGCUCACCAAGUCAGCGAUCUUUAGGGGGCCUGAGAGGGUGAUCCCCCACACUGGUACUGGGACACGGACCAGACUCCUACGGGAGGCAGCAGUGAGGAAUAUUGGACAAUGGGUGAGAGCCUGAUCCAGCCAUCCCGCGUGAAGGACGACGGCCCUAUGGGUUGUAAACUUCUUUUGUAUAGGGAUAAACCUAGAUACGUGUAUCUAGCUGAAGGUACUAUACGAAUAAGCACCGGCUAACUCCGCG